rnacentral:rRNA from 1 species
ACCUACGGGAGGCAGCAGUGAGGAAUAUUGGUCAAUGGGCGGAAGCCUGAACCAGCCAAGUCGCGUGAGGGAUUAAGGCCCUAUGGGUCGUAAACCUCUUUUGUCAGGGAGCAAUGGCGUCCACGUGUGGGCGUAUGGAGAGUACCUGAAGAAAAAGCAUCGGCUAACUCCGUGCCAGCAGCCGCGGUAAUACGGAGGAUGCGAGCGUUAUCCGGAUUUAUUGGGUUUAAAGGGUGCGUAGGCGGGCUGUUAAGUCAGCGGUAAAAGCCCGGGGCUCAACCCCGGCGAGCCGUUGAAACUGGCUG